GGGACCCCAUGAUAUUCAGCACUGUGCUCUAACUGCCCCUGAAGAUACAGUGCCAUCCAGGACCUUAGACACCUAGGGAUCUGAGGGCCCC
rnacentral:snoRNA from 2 species